UUUAAAGUCUGACCUGCCCACUGAGUUUUUAAAUGGCCGCGGUAUUUUGACCGUGCAAAGGUAGCAUAAUAAUUAGUUUUUUAAUUGAAAGCUGGAAUGAAUGGUCGGACGAGAAAAUUACUGUCUUAAUUUGAAUUUAUUUUGGAAUUUUAUUUUUAAGUAAAAAAGCUUAAUUGUUAUUAAAAGACGAGAAGACCCUAUAGAGUUUUAUAUUUGUUAUUAUUAUGGUUAUUAGGAAUUAUUAUUAUUUAUGAUAAUAAUAAUUAUUUUGUUGGGGUGACAGAAAAAUUUGAUAAACUUUUUUUAUUUUAAUUCAUUAAUGAAUGUUUAGAUGAUCCAUAUUUUAUGAUUAGAAGAUUAAAUUACCUUAGGGAUAACAGCGUAAUUAUUUUUAAGAGUUCUUAUCGAAAGAAUAGUUUGCGACCUCGAUGUUGGAUUAAAGUUGACUUUUGGUGUAGGAGCUAAUAAUGUUAGGUCUGUUCGACCUUUAAAACUUUACAUGAUCUGAGUUUAAACCGGCGUGAGCCAGGUUGGUUUCUAUCUUUAAUUUAUGAUAAUACUUUAGUACGAAAGGACCAAGUAUUGAUAAUAUUUAUUUUGAAGGAUAAUUAAUAAUUAUG
rnacentral:rRNA from 1 species